rnacentral:lncRNA from 1 species
AAUUAAAGACGAGUAAUGGCGAGACAGGUUUAGGAGAAAAGAACUAGUGAUCAAUGACUUCAGGCAAUAAGUUCAUGCAGAGAAAAGAACCAGUGAUCAAUGACUUCAAGCAAUAAGUUCAUGCAGAGGAGGAGAGCAAUAAUUUCUAGCACCGUUUGCAGUAGUCUAAGGAAUCAAGGGCAGAACAUUUGCCACCAGAAGAUAGAGCUUUUG